UACGUAGGGUGCGAGCGUUAAUCGGAAUUACUGGGCGUAAAGCGUGCGCAGGCGGUGAUGUAAGUCUGAUGUGAAAGCCCCGGGCUCAACCUGGGAAUGGCAUUGGAAACUGGCUAGCUGGAGUGUGGCAGAGGGGGGUGGAAUUCCGCGUGUAGCAGUGAAAUGCGUAGAGAUGUGGAGGAACACCGAUGGCGAAGGCAGCCUCCUGGGCCAGCACUGACGCUCAUGCACGAAAGCGUGGGGAGCAAACAGG
rnacentral:rRNA from 1 species